rnacentral:rRNA from 1 species
AGGCAGCAUGGGGGAAUAUUGCACAAUGGGGGAAACCCUGAUGCAGCCGAUGCCGCGUAGUGUGAAGAAGGCCUUCGGGUUGUAAAGCACUUUCAGUAGGGAGGAAGGUAGUGUAGUUAACACCUGCAUUAUUUUGACGUUACCUACAGAAGAAGCACCGGCUAACUCCGUGCCCAGCAGCCGCGGUAAUACGGAGGGUGCGAGCGUUAAUCGGAAUUACUGGGCGUAAAGCGCAUGCAGGCGGCCUGUUAAGUCAGGAUAGUGGAAAGCCCGGGGCUUAACCUCGGAAUUGCAUUUGAAACUGGCAGGCUAGAGUCUUGUAGAGGGGGGUAGAAUUUCAGGUGUAGCGGUGAAAAUGCGUAGAGAUCUGAAGGAAUACCAGUGGCGAAGGCGGCCCCCUGGACAAAGACUGACGCUCAGAUGCGAAAGCGUGGGGAGCAAACAGGAUUAGAUACCCUGGUAG